UUUGGGGUUCGAUAAAUAUUACAGGAUAUGCUCUAGUUGCAGAUCAACUUCUUGAUGAUGAGGAGUAGGAAGUGAUUAUUUUUAAAUGGUGGCAACUGCUGUAGUUUGGUGAGACAAAGGUCGGAGUGUGAUCUCUUGAUCCUCAAUCAUGGUUACAUGAGGUAUAUACCAAUCCUCAAUCAUGACUAUGGACCGCAUAAAGAUUUACAAGGAGAA
rnacentral:lncRNA from 1 species